rnacentral:misc_RNA from 1 species
CCCCCUCAUGAGAAAACCAACCCAUGGCUGUUCUGCUUCAUCACAUCAAUGUCAACAAGAUACUUAUUAUCCUCUAAAUGGAGCUAGGCAUCACAUUACAACCACAAACUCCGUACUCCUUAAUAUGCCUGUGAUGAAGCAAAUGAACAACACAUGGUGUUGCAAUAGAAGAAUGUGACAUGGCAAAUACCAAGGUAAAAGUUGUAUGAUACUCUUUCAUACUAACUUUUAAGUUUCAUGAAAGAAUAGAAGUGUAGCCAUCAAUUAUUUGGCAAUGCAUU